UACGAAGGGGGCUAGCGUUGUUCGGAAUCACUGGGCGUAAAGGGCGCGUAGGCGGCCUGAUAAGUAGGGGGUGAAAUCCUGUGGCUUAACUGCAGGGCUGCCUCCUAGACUGUUAGGCUCGAGCACGGUAGAGGCAGAUGGAAUUCCCGGUGUAGCGGUGGAAUGCGUAGAGAUCGGGAAGAACAUCGGUGGCGAAGGCGGUCUGCUGGGCCGUUGCUGACGCUGAGGCGCGACAGCGUGGGGAGCAAACAGG
rnacentral:rRNA from 1 species